CCGGCCCUCCGCGACGGAAAGCCGUGAACCCCGCCAGGCCCGGAAGGGAGCAACGGUAGCGGUGAUGCCGGGUGCCGGAGUCAGCUGG
rnacentral:SRP_RNA from 1 species